AUAUUCUAUGAAACAGAAAGAUAGCGGCCUUCUAAGCCGUAGGUCACAGGUUCGAAUCCUGUAGGGCGUGCCA
rnacentral:tRNA from 1 species